UCCGGAGUAGCUCAGCGGUAGAGCGGUCGGCUGUUAACCGAUUGGUCGCAGGUUCGAUUCCUGCCUCCGGAGCCA
rnacentral:tRNA from 2 species